AGUGAACGCUGGCGGUAGGCCUAACACAUGCAAGUCGAACGGCAGCACAGGAGAGCUUGCUCUCUGGGUGGCGAGUGGCGGACGGGUGAGGAAUACAUCGGAAUCUACCUUUUCGUGGGGGAUAACGUAGGGAAACUUACGCUAAUACCGCAUACGACCUUCGGGUGAAAGCAGGGGACCUUCGGGCCUUGCGCGGAUAGAUGAGCCGAUGUCGGAUUAGCUAGUUGGCGGGGUAAAGGCCCACCAAGGCGACGAUCCGUAGCUGGUCUGAGAGGAUGAUAAGCCACACUGGAACUAAGACACGGUCCAGACUCCUACGGGAGGCAGCAGUGGGGAAUAUUGGACAAUGGGCGCAAGCCUGAUCCAGCCAUACCGCGUGGGUGAAGAAGGCCUUCGGGUUGUAAAGCCCUUUUGUUGGGAAAGAAAAGCAGCCAGUUAAUACCUGGUUGUUCUGACGGUACCCAAAGAAUAAGCGCCGGCUAACUUCGUGCCAGCCGCCGCCGUAA
rnacentral:rRNA from 1 species